rnacentral:rRNA from 1 species
AUACGAAGGGGGCAAGCGUUGUUCGGAAUAACUGGGCGUAAAGCGCACGUAGGCGGAUUGAUCAGUUAGAGGUGAAAUCCCAGGGCACAACCCUGGAACUGCCUUUAAUACUGUCAGUCUAGAGAUCGAGAGAGGUGAGUGGAAUUCCGAGUGUAGAGGUGAAAUUCGUAGAUAUUCGGAGGAACACCAGUGGCGAAGGCGGCUCACUGGCUCGAUACUGACGCUGAGGUGCGAAAGCGUGGGGAGCAAACAGGAUUCGAAACCCUAGUAGUCC